rnacentral:rRNA from 1 species
CGGUUGGAAGCGGCAAAAGCUCAAAUUUGAAAUCUGGUACCUUCGGUGCCCGAGUUGUAAUUUGGAGAGGGCAACUUUGGGGCCGUUCCUUGUCUAUGUUCCUUGGAACAGGACGUCAUAGAGGGUGAGAAUCCCGUGUGGCGAGGAGUGCGGUUCUUUGUAAAGUGCCUUCGAAGAGUCGAGUUGUUUGGGAAUGCAGCUCUAAGUGGGUGGUAAAUUCCAUCUAAAGCUAAAUAUUGGCGAGAGACCGAUAGCGAACAAGUACAGUGAUGGAAAGAUGAAAAGAACUUUGAAAAGAGAGUGAAAAAGUACGUGAAAUUGUUGAAAGGGAAGGGCAUUUGAUCAGACAUGGUGUUUUGUGCCCUCUGCUCCUUGUGGGUAGGGGAAUCUCGCAUUUCACUGGGCCAGCAUCAGUUUUGGUGGCAGGAUAAAUCCAUAGGAAUGUAGCUUGCCUCGGUAAGUAUUAUAGCCUGUGGGAAUACUGCCAGCUGGGACUGAGGACUGCGACGUAAGUCAAGGAUGCUGGCAUAAUGGUUAUAUGCCGCCCGUCUUGAACCAACCGACAA